rnacentral:rRNA from 1 species
AUUGAACGCUGGCGGCAUGCUUUACACAUGCAAGUCGAACGGUAACAGGCCGCAAGGUGCUGACGAGUGGCGAACGGGUGAGUAAUGCAUCGGAACGUGCCCAGUCGUGGGGGAUAACGCAGCGAAAGCUGCGCUAAUACCGCAUACGAUCUAUGGAUGAAAGCGGGGGACCGUAAGGCCUCGCGCGAUUGGAGCGGCCGAUGUCAGAUUAGGUAGUUGGUGGGGUAAAGGCUCACCAAGCCAACGAUCUGUAGCUGGUCUGAGAGGACGACCAGCCACACUGGGACAGAGACACGGCCCAGACUCCUACGGGAGGCAGCAGUGGGGAAUUUUGGACAAUGGGCGCAAGCCUGAUCCAGCAAUGCUGCGUGCAGGAAGAAGGCCUUCGGGUUGUAAACUGCUUUUGUACGGAACGAAACGGUCCUGGUUAAUACCUGGGGCUAAUGACGGUACCGUGAGAAUAAGCACCGGCUAACUACGUGCCAGCCGCCGCAGUAACAC